GACGAACGCUGGCGGCGUGCUUAACACAUGCAAGUCGAACGGAAAGGCCCUGCUUUUGUGGGGUGCUCGAGUGGCGAACGGGUGAGUAACACGUGAGUAACCUGCCCUUGACUUUGGGAUAACUUCAGGAAACUGGGGCUAAUACCGGAUAGGAGCUCCUGCUGCAUGGUGGGGGUUGGAAAGUUUCGGCGGUUGGGGAUGGACUCGCGGCUUAUCAGCUUGUUGGUGGGGUAGUGGCUUACCAAGGCUUUGACGGGUAGCCGGCCUGAGGGGGUGACCGGCCACAUUGGGACUGAGAUACGGCCCAGACUCCUACGGUAGGCAGCAGUGGGGAAUAUUGCACAAUGGGCGGAAGCCUGAUGCAGCAACGCCGCGUGCGGGAUGACGGCCUUCGGGUUGUAAACCGCUUUCGCCUGUGACGAAGCGUGAGUGACGGUAAUGGGUAAAGAAGCACCGGCUAACUACGUG
rnacentral:rRNA from 1 species